rnacentral:misc_RNA from 1 species
CUGGUGUGUGUUGUGUUUGUAGUGGUUUGUAGGUCGAAUUGGAAAGGAAAAUUGAGUAAAGGUGAAUUAGAAAAAACGGCCAGGAAGAUGAAUUUCCAACUGCAUUUGAAGUUGGGGUGUAUGGAGGACCAUCAGAAACAUUGGAAGUAUAUCUCCCAAAUUUAAAUGUUAAUUUUACAAUUGAUGAGUGCCACGUGAUUCCUCCCAACUUAAUGAGACCAAUUUCAAUACCAAAAAAUUUUUCUGAAGAUCAAAAUAAAAUUGAUAUUGAAGCAAUGAGAUAUUUGGCAAUUGAAAUUGACAAUAACACAUGUUCAUUCCAAAUUGAUCCAAUUGUUGAUGAAGAUUAUGGCAAGUGGAUAAUCAUCUAUACUUUUAAAAAAGUUUACAAUGAAUUUCAAAUGGUAAUUGGUUAUCAACCACCUCUUAUUGGUGUACUACAUAUUUACUGUUGAUUUACAUAAUUUUUAUUAAAUUUUUAUA